CCUACGGGAGGCAGCAGUGAGGAAUAUUGGUCAAUGGGCGCGAGCCUGAACCAGCCAAGUAGCGUGAAGGAUGACUGCCCUACGGGUUGUAAACUUCUUUUAUAAAGGAAUAAAGUCAGGCACGUGUAUCUUUUUGAAUGUACUUUAUGAAUAAGGAUCGGCUAACUCCGUGCCAGCAGCCGCGGUAAUACGGAGGAUCCGAGCGUUAUCCGGAUUUAUUGGGUUUAAAGGGAGCGUAGGUGGGUGGUUAAGUCAGUGGUGAAAGUUUGCGGCUCAACCGUAAAAUUGCAAUUGAUACUGGCAGUCUUGAGUGUAGUUGAGGUAGGCGGAAUGUGUGGUGUAGCGGUGAAAUGCUUAGAGAUCACGCAGAACUCCGAUUGCGAAGGCAGCUUACUAAGCUGCCACUGACAUUGAUGCUCGAAAGCGUGGGUAUCAAACAGGAUUAGAUACCCCAGUAGUC
rnacentral:rRNA from 1 species